CCUACGGGAGGCAGCAGUAGGGAAUCUUCCACAAUGGACGUGAGUCUGAUGGAGCAACGCCGCGUGAGUGAAGAAGGGUUUCGGCUCGUAAAGCUCUGUUGGUAGUGAAGAAAGAUAGAGGUAGUAACUGGCCUUUAUUUGACGGUACUUACUUAGAAAGUCACGGCUAACUACGUGCAAGCAGCCGCGGUAAUACGUAGGGUGCAAGCGUUGUCCGGAUUGAUUGGGCGUAAAGCGAGUGCAGGCGGUUCAAUAAGUCUGAUGUGAAAGCCUUCGGCUCAACCGGAGAAUUGCAUCAGAAACUGGUGAACUUGAGUGCAGAAGAGGAGAGCGGAACUCGAGGUGUAGCGGUGGAAUGCGUAGAUAUAAGGAAGAACACCGGUGGCGAAGGCAGCUCUCUGGUCUGCAACUGACGCUGAGGCUCGAAAGCAUGGGUAGCGAACAGGAUUAGAUACCCCAGUAGUC
rnacentral:rRNA from 1 species